GGUUAUAGCUCAGUGGUAGAGCGCUUGCCUAGCAUGUGUGAGGCACUGGGUUCGAUCCUCAGUACCA
rnacentral:tRNA from 1 species